ensembl:lncRNA
UCAAGAUUAUCUGAGGAAAUAUAUACAUAUAUUUUGAUGCCAAAAUAUGUAUGUGCCUGCACGGGUUCUCACCUUUUCAAACGCCAUUGGGUUCUCUUGCCAAAGUUACCGGGUGAGGCAGGGAAUACGACUUUAUUCGGAGAGCCCGCUGACGCAGAAGAUGGCAAAUGAAUGUCUCAAAACAACCAUCUUGUUGAGGUCUGGAUGCCAGGUUCUUUUAUAGAUCAGAGAUUGGGGGAGGUGAGGAAACAAAGUAAAAAGGCCAUUAGUCUUGCAAAUAUUUCCUAGAAGGGCAAGUGUCAGGCAGGGGAUGUGUUAAUGUCUUCCUUCCUACCACCUACGUAUGGACAGGGAUCUGAACAAAGGCCCUUUAGUUUAACAGUCAGGCAGAGGGCCUAUAUUCUCUGAGGCAGGCCAUUAUGUAUGAUUAUAACAAUUGCAAGGAAAAGCAAGUCAAACAAUUCCAACAGGGAGUCAGAAUUGGUUCUUCUCUGCAAACAAAAGCAUAGGUUGAAGAGGGUGGGGGGAGUCAAUCAAACCCAUUCCUUACCAGGAUACUUUGGAAAAGGGGAUGGCAACCCAAUCCACUAUUCUUGACUGGAGAAUCGCAUAGACAGAGGACCCUGGCGGGGCUAUAGUCCAUAGGAUCGUGAAGAGUGGGACACGACUGAAGCGACUUAGCACGAACGCAACAGGAUAUUUAGAGCGCAGCCAACCUCAGGCGCGCAGAUGGCGUUACAGAAAGUUGUGCAUAGCGGUGGAACGCACAGGAGUCUCCUCCGUGACCUUGGCCAACUCGCAGAAACUAUAAAAUGGGAAUAACCCUACUGGGUGAUUGAAGAGCAAAGGAAAUGAUGUAAGUAAAAGUACUCUAAGAAGUAAUAAUGCUGGUUUCUUUGAACGGGAGUCCCCAGCAGCUGGGUUCCCACCAGCUGGGCGUUUUGCUCUUUCCUCUCUGGCUGCCGGAGGCGGCGGCCUUGGCUUGUCUCCAUGGCAACCACUCCGCAUCCCGAUCUCCACCCCCUGUCCACACCGGGGACCGGAAGCAACCGGUCUGGCGCUUCCCAGGCUUCUACCCCAAAACGCAGGGCAGUCUUUCCCAGGCCAGAGGCCCCAAAGACUCCUUCACCGGGUUCAUUAGGGACCCUCGCACGGUGCUGAGGGUUUGGUUUCCUGGGUGGAACUGAGAGCAACUGUGAAUCUGGCACAGAUUCGGCUCCUAGUGCGGGAGACACGGGGUCUUGACCCGAUUCUGUUCCGGCCUAGUAUCAUCUGAGUCUGCUGCUCCUUCUCUUCGCCAGGACCCCGGCCACCGGCUCUGGACCCUGCAGCACCGCACAAAGUGUGGAUGGCCUGAACUCAGACCCCACCCCUGCUCCUUUGCUUUGGUCUCUGUUAUCUACUUGAACUUGCCCUGGCAGGUUCCUCAUCUACCGCACGGAAAUGAAAAGAACCUUACGGGUCUUUUGUGGGGAUUUAAAUACUGUAGUUAUUGUUUAGUUGCUAAGUAGUUUCUGACUCUUUUGCAAUCCCAAGAAUUGUAGCCCGCCAGGCUCCUCUGUCCAUGGGAUUUUCCCGGCCAGAAUACUGGAAUGGGUUGCCAUUUCAUUCUCCAGGGGAUCUUCCUAAUGGAGGGAUGGAACCCAGGUCUCCUGCAUUGGUACUGGAUUCUUUACCACCGAGUCACUGGGAAUUUUAAUGAAUUGGUAUUUGUUAAGAUUUAUUAGAUGAGUGCUUGGCAUCUAGUAAAUUCUCUGAAUGUCAUUGUUACCCUUUGUGGUGGGGCAUCUCACUGUGUAAGGUUGUAUCAUUUAUUUGGUAACCUCCUUGUCUCUCUCCUGCUAGAGUAUAAGCUUUAUGUAGCCAUACAACAGGCUUUGUUCAGGUGACUGCCAUAUCUUGAGUGCUUAGAAGAGUUUUCGGUGAAGUGGGGAAAAAAUGGUAAAGAAAAAUAGGGGCACAUAUAACAUUUCUAAUUAGUCAUCAGUUACUAGUGAUACAUAUACUAGAAUACUACUAAGGAAAGUGUCUCCCCACCCUCUUCUGCUAACAAGCUAGUGAUACUUGGAGUAAUUGUUGCUCCGCAUACAUCACCAUGUUGCCGGCAACCUUGUGAUUUGAUGCAUUGUUUUCUGUAAUUUAUUUGAUAAUAAAUUGUGAGAUAUUUUGCCA